rnacentral:rRNA from 1 species
GCUGGCGGCAGGCCUAACACAUGCAAGUCGAAGGAGAAGCCAUCUUCGGAUGGUGGAAACUGGCGCACGGGUGAGUAACGCGUGGGUAUCUACCUCGGGGUGGGGAAUAACCGCUGGAAACGGCGGCUAAUACCGCAUACGCCUUCAGAGGGAAAGCUCCGGCGCCCUGAGAGGAGCCCGCGUUGGAUUAGCUUGUUGGUGGGGUAAUGGCCUACCAAGGCGACGAUCUAUAGCUGGUCUGAGAGGAUGAUCAGCCACACUGGGACUGAGACACGGCCCAGACUCCUACGGGAGGCAGCAGUGGGGAAUAUUGGACAAUGGGCGCAAGCCUGAUCCAGCCAUGCCGCGUGAGUGAAGAAGGCCUUAGGGUUGUAAAGCUCUUUCACCUGCGAAGAUGAUGACGGUAGCAGGAGAAGAAGCCCCGGCUAACUCCGUGCCAGCAGCCGCGGUAAUACGGAGGGGGCUAGCGUUGUUCGGAAUUACUGGGCGUAAAGGGCGCGUAGGCGGUAUGCCAAGUCAGGGGUGAAAGGCCUGGGCUCAACCCAGGAACUGCCUUUGAAACUGGCAAACUAGAGUCCGAAAGAGGAUGGCGGAAUUCCCAGUGUAGAGGUGAAAUUC